rnacentral:rRNA from 1 species
UACGUAGGGUGCGAGCGUUAAUCGGAAUUACUGGGCGUAAAGCGUGCGCAGGCGGUUUUGUAAGUCAGAUGUGAAAUCCCCGGGCUUUACCUGGGAACUGCGUUUGAAACUACAAGGCUAGAGUGUAGCAGAGGGGGGUGGAAUUCCACGUGUAGCAGUGAAAUGCGUAGAGAUGUGGAGGAACACCGAUGGCGAAGGCAGCCCCCUGGGUUAACACUGACGCUCAGGCACGAAAGCGUGGGGAGCAAACAGG